GAUGAACGCUGGCGGCGUGCCUAAUACAUGCAAGUCGAGCGAACGGACGAGAAGCUUGCUUCUCUGAUGUUAGCGGCGGACGGGUGAGUAACACGUGGAUAACCUACCUAUAAGACUGGGAUCACUUCGGGAAACCGGAGCUAAUACCGGAUAAUCUUUUGAACCGCAUGGUUCAAAAGUGAAAGACGGUCUUGCUGUCACUUAUAGAUGGAUCCGCGCUGCAUUAGCUAGUUGGUAAGGUAACGGCUUACCAAGGCAACGAUGCAUAGCCGACCUGAGAGGGUGAUCGGCCACACUGGAACUGAGACACGGUCCAGACUCCUACGGGAGGCAGCAGUAGGGAAUCUUCCGCAAUGGGCGAAAGCCUGACGGAGCAACGCCGCGUGAGUGAUGAAGGUCUUCGGAUCGUAAAACUCUGUUAUUAGGGAAGAACAGAUGUGUAAGGAACUGUGCACAGCUUGACGGUACCUAAUCAGAAAGCCACGGCUAACUACGUG
rnacentral:rRNA from 1 species